AUGGCAACCGGCGCCGUUGCCUAUGCCCAAAACCCUAGCCAUGGGGGGGGUCGCGGGUGGGCUUUGGUGGCUUCGAGCGCCGGAUCUAACCGGAUGGGAGGGCGCCGUGGUGCGAGGAGAGCUCGGGUUGUGCUUCGUGGUGGCAGGAUUCGCCGAGCGUCGCCUGAAUCGGCCGUCGCCGGUGGCGCAGCGAGGAGCAUUGUGAAGAGAGAGAUGGGAGGCGAGAGGGAUGGGCGGGUAGGAGAUGCUGCGGAUACUGCAGCCUCCGGAGCUGCGAGGUGGGUGAAGAGGAGGGGGAGGGCCGGCGGUGAGGUGUGUCGAAGAAGGAAGAGGAGGCGAUGGGUGGCGGCGAGGUGGGAGAGAUAA
rnacentral:rRNA from 1 species